AAGCUGCCAGCCAGAGAGGAAUUGUUCCCAGCAUGGGUGAUUGAGUGAGAUGAUUUUUUUUUUUUUUUUUUGAGACGGAGUCUCUUAUUCUGUCACUCAGGCUGGAGUGCAAUGGUUGUGAUCUCAGCUCACUGCAGCCUCUGCCUCCUGAGUUCAAGCGAUUCUUCUGCCUCAACCUCCCAAGUAGCUGGGAUUACAGGUGCACACCACCACACCUGGCUAAUUUUUGUACUUUUAGUAGAAACAGGGCUUUGCCAUGUUGGCCAGGCUGGUCUCAAACUCCUGACCUCGGGUGAUCCGCUAGCCUCGGCCUCCCAAAGUGUUGGGAUUACAGGCAUGAGCCACCGAACCCGGCCA
rnacentral:lncRNA from 1 species